rnacentral:rRNA from 1 species
CGGGUGCACUGAUCCAGCCGGGCCUUUCCCUCUGUGGAACCCCAUGGCCUUCACUGGCUGUGGUGGGGAAACAGGACUUUUACUUUGAAAAAAUUAGAGUGCUCCAGGCAGGCCUAUGCUCGAAUACAUUAGCAUGGAAUAAUAGAAUAGGACGUGUGGUUCUAUUUUGUUGGCUUCUAGGACCGCCGUAAUGAUUAAUAGGGACAGUCGGGGGCAUCAGUAUUCAAUUGUCAGAGGUGAAAUUCUUGGAUCUAUUGAAGACUAACUACUGCGAAAGCAUUUGCCAAGGAUGUUUUCAUUGAUAAGGAACGAAAGUUAGGGGAUCGAAGACGAUCAGAUACCGUCGUAGUCUUAACUAUAAACUAUGCCGACUAGGGAUCGGACGAUGUUAUUCUUUGACGCGUUCGGCACCUUUCGAGAAAUCAAAGUGCUUGGGCUCCAGGGGGAGUAUGGUCGCAAGGCUGAAACUUAAAGAAAUUGACGGAAGGGCACCACCAGGGGUGGAACCUGCGGCUUAAUUUGACUCAACACGGGGAAACUCACCAGGUCCAGACACAGUGAGGAUUGACAGAUUGAGAGCUCUUUCUUGAUUCUGUGGGUGGUGGUGCAUGGGCCGUUCUUAGUUGGUGGAGUGAUUUGUCUGCUUAAUUGCGAUAGCGAACGAGACCUUAACCUGCUAAAUAGCCCGUACUGCUUUGGCAGUUCGCCGGCUUCUUAGAGGGACUAUCGG